UAAGUAGUUUGGUGUCUGAAUGAAUGGGU
rnacentral:piRNA from 1 species